AGCAGCAGCUGCGAGUGCGCCCCUGUGGGUGUGAGGGUGAGAGCGCUGGCGCCGGCCACAGCGCCCUGCCUAGCUCCCCGCCAGCUUCCCUAGCCCCCGUCUGCGGGAGCCGCCCUCCCGUGGGACCAGCACCCUCAUCUCAGCAAGGCAAGCCUGAAUCCUGCCCCUGCCAUCUCGCCCCUGCAGUGUGGGUCCGGAAAGGCACCAUUUUGUCGCGGCUGCCCGCUCUCCCAGGGGGAGGAGGGUUCUUAUUUUUUGCAUUUUGGAGCCGCUGCCUGCCAAGGGGAACCUGUUGGGCAUCUCCCCAGCCCUACUCGGGAACGUCUCCGGGGUGGGCGGGCAGGACCAGACCCCUCGUGGAGGACACAGAGCUUCCUGGUACCCAGAGGCAGAGGAGGCAGGCGCAGCAUCCUCGCUGGGAAUUGGAGCUGAAGUGAGCGCACCGUGCGGGAGGAGCCACCGCAUCCGCGGAGAACCGAGUGGAGGAGGUGACAGCUCCAUUGCCGGGUUUUUAUUUUCUUCUCUCUCCGCCUCCCCGUCUCCUCCUCAGGCUUGGACCAUGGUGCAGUCCCACUGGCUCCCCUGCCCCCCUCUCCUGUGAGACUGGCUGCGGGGUGGGAUCAUGGAUACUUGUCUGCCGGCUUCUGGUUCCCACGCAAGUAAGCCUGCUGUCAAUGGAGGAGGACAUUGAUACCCGCAAAAUCAACAACAGUUUCCUGCGCGACCACAGCUAUGCAACCGAAGCUGACAUUAUCUCUACGGUAGAAUUCAACCACACUGGAGAGUUACUAGCGACGGGGGACAAGGGGGGUAGGGUUGUAAUAUUUCAGCGAGAACAGGAGAGUAAAAAUCAGGUUCAUCGUAGGGGUGAAUACAAUGUUUACAGCACAUUCCAGAGCCAUGAACCCGAGUUCGAUUACCUGAAAAGUUUAGAAAUAGAAGAAAAAAUCAAUAAAAUAAGAUGGCUCCCUCAACAAAAUGCAGCUUACUUUCUUCUGUCUACCAACGAUAAAACUGUGAAGCUAUGGAAAGUUAGUGAGCGUGAUAAGAGGCCAGAAGGCUACAACCUGAAAGAUGAGGA
rnacentral:lncRNA from 1 species